UACAGCAAUGUAUAUUGUAAAAGAUAGCAAAUUUUUUAAAAUUAAGAGAAAGACAGAAACCGAACAAGGUCGGUUCCAGAGCAGGGUGAGGUUGACCUUCUUGUCGGUGGUCCUCUUUGUCAAGGGUAUAGCGGUCUGAAUCUGUACCGAAAAGGGGAGAAUUCUGUAUUAGAGGUAAGAGCGUUAGUUGUUAUUUACUCCUCCGAAAAAGUAUGUCACCUUGUAAAAGAGCCUCGUUUUCACGUUUGAUGCGUUAGAUAGGCAUGCUAUUUUAUUUAGGUAAAUCAUAAUAAACUAUGCAUAUUUAAAUAUUAUACAUGAUUUUACUGAUGUUAAAUCUUCACUACGAGCGUAAAAUAACACUUUUGGCCUCAUUAAUUACUGCCUUAGUCAGCAUGCAUGGCAUGCUACCCGUAAGAUUUUUUGAGUUCCCAGAUAGCAAGCUUUCUGAGCUUUUGUGAUUUUUAUCGUCCCAAACGGUUGAUAAUGGAAAACGUCAGAAAUUUCCUAUCGUACGAGAACAGCGUGGUCUUAAAGCUGACACUUAGAAGAUUGCUAAAAUUGGGUUACCAGGUAAUGAUAAACAACUGUUAGCACAUACCAGAGCCAAAAAACAUAUUUCUUGUUUGGAUUUAGUGCACGUUUGGUGUUCUUCAGUGUGGGAAUUAUGGUAUCCUCCAAAGCAGACAUCGUGCUUUCGUCAUUGGUGCAGCAUCAGGACAUACUUUGCCAAUGUUUCCAGAACCUACACAUUGUUUUUCUUCAUUUCUCUCCGUCGCUGUCGAUAAUAAAAAGG